UGGGAAUAUCCACUUGGACAAUCUCUCC
rnacentral:piRNA from 1 species